CACGGUGCUGCCGGUGGGUCAAAGAAGCCAGAGUAUCGGGCGGCUCGAGCAGCCUCCUUAUAAUUAAGGAGUUAGCAACCCCAAGCAGGACACCUCUCUGGACGGGGAAGGUCUGAGAUCCAUCUGGAAGAGCGUUUCUCAAAUCAAGAGAUGCUACUCAGAGAAAGGGUUUCACAGCCAAGCAGGUGUACAAUACAGUGAUUCAACACUUCUAUACAUUACUCAUGCUCAUCAAGCCGUAUGGAGCACGGAAGUCAAUUGGACAACCCACAUGCUCUAACAAGCAUUCGUGUUCUUGAAGGCAUUUACCAAAUCUCCUUCCAGCUUC